AUGAACGCUGGCGGCGUGCCUAAUACAUGCAAGUCGAGCGAACGGACGAGAAGCUUGCUUCUCUGAUGUUAGCGGCGGACGGGUGAGUAACACGUGGAUAACCUACCUAUAAGACUGGGAUAACUUCGGGAAACCGUAGCUAAUACCGGAUAAUAUUUUGAACCGCAUGGUUCAAAAGUGAAAGACGGUCUUGCUGUCACUUAUAGAUGGAUCCGCGCUGCAUUAGCUAGUUGGUAAGGUAACGGCUUACCAAGGCAACGAUGCAUAGCCGACCUGAGAGGGUGAUCGGCCACACGGGAACUGAGACACGGUCCAGACUCCUACGGGAGGCAGCAGUAGGGAAUCUUCCGCAAUGGGCGAAAGCCUGACGGAGCAACGCCGCGUGAGUGAUGAAGGUCUUCGGAUCGUAAAACUCUGUUAUUAGGGAAGAACAUAUGUGUAAGUAACUGUGCACAUCUUGACGGUACCUAAUCAGAAAGCCACGGCUAACUACGUG
rnacentral:rRNA from 1 species